UCAUUUGCAUCGCGAGCAUCUAUCAUUGUACAAGGAAGCAAACCGACUAUUACGAAACUAUUCGAGGACACCCACAAACGUCACCGACAUGGGGGAGUGUGGAUAAAUAACACAGCUGAGGAACAUCAUGCCACUAUGGUUUCAAAGAUCGCUGAGCAAUCUCAACCUAGUGUCACACAUCCAUUGUCUGAGGAGCAGAUUUCUAGAGAAGUACUUGGGAAGAGGUCGGUCUACUUGAAGGGAUACGGGAUCCGCA